GACGAACGCUGGCGGCGUGCCUAAUACAUGCCAGUAGAACGCACAGUUUAUACCGUAGCUUGCUACACCAUAGACUGUGAGUUGCGAACGGGUGAGUAACGCGUAGGUAACCUGCCUGGUAGCGGGGGAUAACUAUUGGAAACGAUAGCUAAUACCGCAUAAUAUUGAUUAUUGCAUGAUAAUUGAUUGAAAGAUGCUAUUGCAUCACUACCAGAUGGACCUGCGUUGUAUUAGCUAGUAGGUGAGGUAACGGCUCACCUAGGCGACGGUACAUAGCCGACCUGAGAGGGUGAUCGGCCACACUGGGACUGAGACACGGCCCAGACUCCUACGGGAGGCAGCAGUAGGGAAUCUUCGGCAAUGGACGAAAGUCUGACCGAGCAACGCCGCGUGAGUGAAGAAGGUUUUCGGAUCGUAAAGCUCUGUUGUAAGAGAAGAACGGGUGUGAGAGUGGAAAGUUCACACUGUGACGGUAUCUUACCAGAAAGGGACGGCUAACUACGUG
rnacentral:rRNA from 1 species